rnacentral:piRNA from 1 species
UAUGCUUGUUGGUUGCCUCUCUGCAUC